GCAGAGUAGGGUUCUGUGCGUCAAGUGCCGUCUGGACGGGGAGUUGCCAGGCGGACGAAAAGCCGGCUUCCGGCUUGCGGUACAGGUCCCGCAUCCCGCUGC
rnacentral:ncRNA from 1 species